rnacentral:lncRNA from 1 species
AUCUUAAUUUAUCUUUUAACAAGUAUUUGACAAAAAUAUGAUAAAAAAUUAGAUAUAUAAUUCAUGUAUGCCUCUAUUUAUUUCUACAUCCCUAUAUCUCAUCUAUACAGUUUUUCUAGAUAUCCAAAGCUAAGUGGACUCUAUUCAAAAAAAAUCUUUUUCCAUUUUCCAUCCAUUUCACCAACUGAUUGGACUUUUUAAAAUUACAAAAUAAACAAAAACAUUGAUAUUCCUCUCACAC